GGCGCCGGCGGGUGGAGAUCCGAAUUGGCGGAGGUGCCCAGUGUAGUGCGUCUAAAGUGUCCGAAAAAAAAUUGAAAGCAUGUGGUCAUGUGAAACCAUAACCAUAGAACCAAUUAACUUGAAUUUAAAACCCUCGAUGUUCUUAUAGAUCUAAAUACCCAUAUUAUAACACCUGGUACAUCUACUUCUUCCACCUCAGCUUUGACAUCAGCAGCUGCAGCGCUACUCUUUGCAUGUAUUUACGUGCUGAUGUGGUAUAUGACGGGGAAAAGGAACUGGUUUCUCCUCUGGAAAAAGAAUAGCAGCACCACUGAAAGGCAUUACGAGGCCAUGAUAAUAAUUUAUGGAUGACUUGCUCCAAAAAGAUUCACGUACUCAGAGGUAAUGAAGAUAACGUCUUCUCGCAAUAAGCAGCUUGGUCAAGGUAGUUAUGGUAUGGUCUUGAAGGAAAGCUACAUGAUGGUCGUCUGGUUGCUGUGAAAUUCUUACAUAAUUGCAAAGGAAACGGGGAAGAGUUUGUUAAUGAGGUUAUGAGCAUUGGUAGGACCUCUCAUGUGAAUAUUGUUAGCUUGUUCGGAUUUUGUUUGGAAGGAUCAAAACAAGCUCUUAUAUAUGAGUACAUGUGCAAUGGUUCCCUGGAUAGAUACAUUUACUCAGAGAAGCCAAAAGAAAUUUUAGGAUGGGAGAGGCUCUAUGCAAUAGCUAUCGGGAUAGCUCGUGGACUGGAAUAUUUGCACCAUAGUUGUAAUACACGGAUCGUCCAUUUUGACAUUAAGCCUCAAAAUAUCCUUCUAGACCAAGAUUUUUGCCCAAAAAUUGCCGAUUUUGGUCUUGCUAAACUAUGUCGUACCAAGGAGAGCAAGCUUUCAAUGAUUGGUGCUAGAGGAACAAUUGGAUUCAUUGCUCCAGAAGUUCACUCACGAAACUUCGGAAUUGUUUCAACAAAGUCAGAUGUUUAUAGUUAUGGAAUGGUGUUGCUAGAGAUGGUUGGAGGCAGGAAAAAUGUGAAAUCGGUGGCUGAAAAAUCAAGCGAAAAGUAUUUCCCAGAUUGGAUUUAUGAUCACUUUGCUCAAGACGAUGAAUUAGAGGCAUGUGAAGUUACAAGUGACAUUGAGGAAAUUGCAAGAAAGAUGACCUUGAUUGGCUUGUGGUGCAUACAAGUAUUACCUCUGUAUCACCCUACUAUAACCAAAGUUGUAGAAAUGUUUGAGAGAAGCAAAACUUCAGUGGACUACUUGAAAAUGCAGCUCAUAAGAUGAAUGUACAAAGUGCAAGCUCUACGACAUCUGAGGAGAUAAGGCUUGUGAAUUCAGGAAACACAUAACAAUUUCCACCUCUUUGAGAAGGUUGGUAGUUGGGAAGGGCGUGAUGAACGGAAGCGGCACAAUGUCAUAACUUUGAGUUCAUCCUACAUUAGGAGUGGCGACAACAAACUUGCACAGCCGGUUAUCAUAAAACCCAUUGUUGAUAACAAUCACAGCAAUGCACAGGCACACAUUACAGUUCUACAAAAAUCAGAAAUUAGCCUGCAUACGGACAUGUCAAUGCCAAUCAAUUUUUUUUCUCCGACAGGCACCUAAAUGCAUGUCAUAUUUGUACUAGCGCAUACCAACGUUGUACCACUAGCCUGUCACCAGGUGAUAACCAAAGCCUCCAAAGAUCACUGUAUUCCAGGAAGUACUAGCGCACGAAUUUUGUGUUCCACCUUACAAGUUCAAACAGAUAAAAGGAUUGGAUCUUA